CUAUUUGAGUCCCUGGCAGCAUCUGUCCGAUAUAAUCUGACUCUCUAUCCCCACCCAAAUCUCAUCUCAAAUUAUAAUACCCGUGUGUCAAGGGAGGGAUCUGUAAUCCCCAUGUAUCAGGGGAGGGAGGUGAUUGGAUGAAGGGGACAGUUAACCCCAUGGUGUUCUCGUGAUAGUGAGUGAGUUCUCACGAGAUCUGAUGGUUUCGUAAGGCAGUUUUCCCUGCUCUUGUUUACUAUCUCUCACCUGCAGCAUGUAAGAUGUGCCUGCUCCCCCUUCCGCCAUAAUUGCAAGUUUCCGAAGGCCUCCUCAGCCAUGUGGAACUGGUAAAUUUCUAAAGAAAAGGAUCUGUGAACAUUUAGGAAAGCAAGCGGUGGUCACCAGGAAUUGUGUGGAUUGCUGAUAAAGAAGUCAUUCUGCACUAACUUCAUCUCUUCUUUGGCAUUAUGGCUUAUCUGAUAAAUAAAGCAAUGCAAUAGACAUA